AUUGAUACGGUCAAAUAUCCAUUUUAGAAAUGACAUCAGGAGCAUCUUUUACUGCUUCAGAAAUUAAUGGACACUGUGAACACUUUCAGUCAGUCA